AACUGGAGAUGGUGAGGAUUAAUGGCUGCAAGAAAGGUGACUCUUCCAAUAUGAUAGGAAGCCAAGUAGCCACCCUCGAUGUAUCAAGAUCUUGGUUUCGGACUAUAUACCAAGUGUUCCCAUCUGUUGGAGCUUGUUGAAGAAUAAUAAAUCCUCAAUUGCUGAUUUUGAUCCAAGUGACUCUUGGUUCCAAAUUCGUUUUGGUGGUCAUAGUCUUCUU